UACGGAGGGUGCAAGCGUUAUCCGGAUUCACUGGGUUUAAAGGGUGCGUAGGUGGGUUGGUAAGUCAGUGGUGAAAUCUCCGAGCUUAACUUGGAAACUGCCAUUGAUACUAUCAGUCUUGAAUAUUGUGGAGGUUAGCGGAAUAUGUCAUGUAGCGGUGAAAUGCUUAGAUAUGACAUGGAACACCAAUUGCGAAGGCAGCUGGCUACGCAUAUAUUGACACUGAGGCACGAAAGCGUGGGGAUCAAACAGG
rnacentral:rRNA from 1 species